CACCCGCGGGCUGACGGCUCUCCUAUAAAACAUGGGAGGAGGGCGAUGCAAGAUCACACACACUCACGUCAAACCUGAUCGUAGCGUGCAAGCAUUCCACGUGUGAAGAUAUAAGCAGAGAUCAUCAUGAUGAAGUUCCACACUACACUGUUCGUGAUGGCUGUUGUUGGCGCGGUAAUGCGUGAAGGAGAUACAGCCUUUACACCGACGCUGCUGGAUAAGGUUAUCACGUGUCGUGGAGACGCCACUGACGUCACAUUGUUCUUCGAAUCUUGGCUUCAAGGUGAGG